rnacentral:lncRNA from 1 species
CUCCAAUAUGCAGUUCAACUUCUUAAACCUCUGCCAUAAAAGAGAUUUACUCUUGCAUAACCUCAAUGUGGAAAAUUAUUAAACUCCAGAUUCUCCACCUCAAGACACUCAUCCAGAUAAUAGAGCAGCACUUUUAAACUCAUUGCCAUUAAUGAUAUAAACCUAUUAUUCAUUUACAUAUUUUAUUCAAGCAUUCUAAUUUGUUUGAUGUAGGAAAUUUUAAUCAAUACAAUUCUUAUAUAUGUAUAUAUGAUGUAUAUUUACUGUUCAUAUAAAAAUAAUUGCCGUAAAUUUAUUUAAAAAAUGUAUUACAUGUAUCUAACUGUGAUUUUAUUUAUUUUUCUUGUAGGUUAAAUGAUUGUGGCUUAACAGACAAAAGCUGUCCAGCUCUGGCUACAGUUCUUGGAUCAGAUACUAAUCUGAAAGAGCUGAACAUAAACAAUAAUUAUCUGCAGGACUCAGGAGUGAAGCUGCUCUGCAAUGGCAUGAAGAAUAUUAAUUGCAAAUUAGAGAUACUGAGUCUGAAGAACAACUGUAUCACAGAAGGAGGAUGUCAUGUUCUGGCUGCAGCUCUAAAUUCAAACCCUUCAAAUCUGACAGAGCUGGAUCUGAGUGAGAAUGAACUAGGAAACCCAGGAAUGAAGAUCAUCUUGACUUUGUUUAAAAAUGUACAGUGUAGACUGGAAAAGCUGAAGUAAGUAUUUUAAAAGUGUAACCCAUUAAUUACCCAGACUGCACUGACCCACCACAGUUUCCAGUGAGUUAGUACUUUUUCAAAGUUCUGGAACUUUCUGGGGCGUGACUUGGGUGCUAAACCUGCUGAUUGGUUGAGUUCAAGCAACAUUGUGAUUUCAACCACCAUUUAUUCGGAUCAUUUUCAAAAUAUUACUGUUGUGUCAUGAAAUGUAAUUUUAAAAGUAUUUCAGGCGAGAAUGUAGUUGUUUAAAAUUCAAAUCUGUGGUUUAUUUAUAAAGACAGUGACUAUUUAAAAAUGUGUUUUGCCGAUCUCGGACACGGUGAGCUCCACGCGAUCAGCACAAGCUCAGUGCUCAUGUAUCUGCCGAGAGCAGCCUCACCUCUGCUAGUCCUUUUGACAUUUGCCGCUGGCUCUGAUGUCUCUUUAGUGGUUAAACAUAAAAUAUAAUUUGUUUGGGGUAAAUCUAACAAGUAAUCUUUGGUCUGAUUUAAUUUAUGUUAAAAUGAAAUUAAAAAGAGGCAAUUGAUAGAUUAUAUUGUUUCAUUGUAAUGG